rnacentral:sRNA from 1 species
AGCACUGGAGGCCACCCAGUCAUGGGGGACACCUUCAUCCGUCACAUCGCCUUGCUGGGCUUUGAGAAGCGCUUCGUACCCAGCCAGCACUAUGUGUACAUGUUCCUGGUGAAAUGGCAGGACCUGUCGGAGAAGGUGGUCUACCGGCGCUUCACUGAGAUCUACGAGUUCCAUGUGAGUGUGGGGACGGAGGAGGGACAGGGACCCACCGUUCCAGCUCCACCCUUUGGGAAGGACCUUAGCCCAGAAAACCUUAAAAGAAAUGUUCCCUAUUGAGGCAGGGGCGAUCAAUCCAGAGAACAGGAUCAUCCCCCACCUCCCAGCUCCCAAGUGGUUUGACGGGCAGCGGGCCGCCGAGAACCGCCAGGGCACACUUACCGAGUACUGCAGCACGCUCAUGAGCCUGCCCACCAAGAUCUCCCGCUGUCCCCACCUCCUCGACUUCUUCAAGGUGCGCCCUGAUGACCUCAAGCUCCCCACGGACAACCAGACAAAAAAGCCAGAGACAUACUUGAUGCCCAAAGAUGGCAAGAGUACCGCAACAGACAUCACCGGCCCCAUCAUCCUGCAGACGUACCGCGCCAUUGCCGACUACGAGAAGACCUCGGGCUCCGAGAUGGCUCUGUCCACGGGGGACGUGGUGGAGGUCGUGGAGAAGAGCGAGAGCGGUCAGACCUCCCACCUUACGGGGCUCCUUCCCCUGGUGCUCAGGAACCCACAGCCACAAGCCCCCUGCCAAGGCUCAGGCAGCCUGGCCCCUGGGAGGACUCCGGCUCUGUUAGGGGCCCUAAAUGUCCUCCCCACACUGUGGGUCGCCUUCUCUCUUAGUGUGCACCCUGUGGUGGCUGUGGGCAUCUGUGCAUGGCAGGCCGGGGCGGGGCAUGUCUGUGUGUUCUGUCUGGAUGGGUAUGGGACCGUCUGUUCAUUAUGAAGUGGGCUCAGAGCUGUGAUUCUGUGAGCAUGUGUGCAUGCAUGCAUGUGACCUCAUUGUCCAGUGUGGUGAAGGUGACAUUUCCAAAUCUGAGCAUUGGACAUCAGUGUGUCUGUGUCCCUGUGUCCUCACCAUCCCUGAUGGCUGCAGGGAGCCGCUGGGCCCUGCCCCUCAGUCACAUUCCCGCACCUCUGGCACAGGUUGGUGGUUCUGUCAGAUGAAAGCAAAGCGAGGCUGGAUCCCAGCGUCCUUCCUCGAGCCCCUGGACAGUCCUGACGAGACGGAAGACCCUGAGCCCAACUAUGCAGGUGAGCCAUACGUUGCCAUCAAGGCCUACACUGCUGUGGAGGGGGACGAGGUGUCCCUGCUCGAGGGUGAAGCUGUUGAGGUCAUUCACAAGCUCCUGGACGGCUGGUGGGUCAUCAGGAAAGACGACGUCACAGGCUACUUCCCGUCCAUGUACCUGCAAAAGUCGGGGCAAGACGUGUCCCAGGCCCAACGCCAGAUCAAGCGGGGGGCGCCGCCCCGCAGGUAAGCGGGGGUCCCCGGGGCUGGGCGGGGUCGAGCGGGGCGCACCACGGGUUCGCUCUGUCUAGGCCAUAGCUUGGCAGUGCCGGGGCGGGGGCUCUCAGCCUGGCAGGAGAGGCAGGACCCUCACGGGGGAAAGGGGCUGGACGCGCCUGGCCGCGGUGUGGGGCUGGCACAGGGGCGGAAGGAAAGCGGCGAUGCCCGGGGGCUUUGGGGAUGGGCAGUCCAGGGGGGCUCCCCGGAGAGGGGGACGACAGACCGAAGGCUGGUGAGGGGCGUGGAAAACCGCCCAGGCUCUGCUGCAGGGCAGGGUCCUUGUCGUGACGGGGGCAGCCGCCUCUUGUCCCGCUGGGGUCGUGCAGACUACCGGCCCCCUACUGCCCCCCACUUCCUCGGACCAGGGGUGCCCAUCUGAGUCCCUGGGGGCAGGGGCGCACUCGGGCUUUGACGACGCCCUGUCCCACUGGGCCAGGUCGUCCAUCCGCAACGCGCACAGCAUCCACCAGCGGUCGCGGAAGCGCCUCAGCCAGGACGCCUAUCGCCGCAACAGCGUCCGUUUUCUGCAGCAGCGACGCCGCCAGGCGCGGCCGGGACCGCAGAGCCCCGGGAGCCCGCUCGAGGAGGAGCGGCAGACGCAGCGCUCUAAACCGCAGCCGGCGGUGCCCCCGCGGCCGAGCGCCGACCUCAUCCUGAACCGCUGCAGCGAGAGCACCAAGCGGAAGCUGGCGUCUGCCGUCUGAGGCUGGAGCGCAGUCCCCAGCUAGCGUCUCGGCCCUUGCCGCCCCGUGCCUGUAUAUACGUGUUCUAUAGAGCCUGGCGUCUGGACGCCGAGGGCAGCCCCGACCCCUGUCCAGCGCGGCUCCCGCCACCCUCAAUAAAUGUUGCUUGGAGUGG